GGAGGACCGAGGAAGGAGCUGCAGGGGAGGUGAGCAGCUGGUCGCACCACGCCGGGUCAUCAAGGUUAAUCUCAACGAACGGGUCACUGGAGCAAACCGCUGAGGAAACGACACAAAGGUUUAACAGUGAGACUUCAGAGCAUGUCGGUGCUGCUCAGCGGACCUGAUGUCCUGUCGGCUGGGUCGUCCCCCGGUGAGGGACUGGUUGUACCGCUGAGCGAAGACUCCACGCCGUUUGGCUCUGGCUGUGCCUGUGGAGCUGCAGUGAUGGCAGGGGUCGAAACAGAGCGGAGGGGAAGUACCGUUCUCUCCAUUGGAGCCCUUUUCCUCAGGCUGUAGAGUUGUACCAUUGGCUACUGGAGGAGGUGAAAGGUCAUCUCUGGUCACCUGAUCAUCAUCGGGUGCUGGUCGAGCUGAGAUACAACAAGCAUUAGCCAAAACGCACACGUCGGGACGUGCUUGUAACAGGACACUUCAGCUCCUGUUCUGCACAGAGGACCGAACUCAAUCCCCGUCCUGCACCUCUGGGAUGAACUGGAGCAACGUCGGAGUUGUGUCUGAACGAGAUUCAGAUGCCUGCAGCAGCUUCGACCUCUGGUGAAAGACCAGAAGAAAGCAGAAGUAUGCAGGCUGAUGAGCUUGAAUGUGAAGUGAGAUGUUCAGCCUCUUUGUUUUCUCUACCCUCAUCCUCUCCUCCCCUCCUUCCUUGUGUCUCUCACCCCCUCGACCCCCCCUUGCUGUCAGUCUCUCCCUCUACCCCCUAAAUCUCUCUCAGUAUCCGUCAGAGUUCAGGAACUGAGUCACCGACCGCAGUGCGAGCUCCACAUCGACACAGGAUGCUCGCUCUCUCUUUGGCUUUGUAGAGCUGUACAGCAGCGGUUUAUUCUCACUCUGUCAUGAAAACAUAGCAUGCAGAACAGGAGAUCUUUAAUGGCAAAGUGGCAGAGCUUUGACAGACUAAAAAGCAACAUGAAAGCAGCUUUGGGUGACCCAGCUAUUUGUUUUUGAGGAUUUUGCUGAUUUCAGAUCAGACGAAGAGCUUCAGGCCUCUCAGGAGAUGUGUUGUGUGCAGCAGCCUCAGUGGAGUUUGGUUUUGUUUUGAACUGUCUGAGUGAUUGAAAGUAAAAGUCAGGUUUUAGAGGUGGAGGUCAGAGGUGACGGAUGUACUCAGAUCCUCCACUAAAACCUCAAAAUGUAAACAUGGGAUUGAAGUCUUGAUGAGACAGUCAGUACACAAUAAAAGUGGAAAGAAAAGUGGCAACAACAAAUAGCAUUAAUGAAAUAUGCAAGAUAUAUAUAUAUAUUAUAUAUAAGAUAUGAAAGAAUCCACAGCACACACAUUACAGAGCAUGAGGAAACGGGACCGGUCUAAACAGGCGGGUUUUCACCCACGCAGACCCGGACGGAGAGCACGCCAGAUGUUAGCACCAGCCACACUGAAGGCUCCAUCAGGCACAGCGCAGAGCCUGCAGGGGGCAGCAGAGAGGAGACGGAUGUCAGAGGAGCGUAGCGGGUGAGGAGAUGUCACUACAGGUGACACCUGUAGACGAGACGAGAGCUGCUUGACCAAGAAGCUUCAGAGUGAACACAGGAGAGCGAGGUUACCUGAAGGGGAAACGAAGGAGGGAUCAGCCCAAGGCGGCGAACUCUCAUUUUCAGAUAU